rnacentral:rRNA from 1 species
ACAGCAGUCGCCACGGUAAUGCGGAGGAUCCAAGCGUUAUCCGGAAUCAUUGGGUUUAAAGGGUCCGUAGGCGGUUUAGUAAGUCAGUGGUGAAAGCCCAUCGCUCAACGGUGGAACGGCCAUUGAUACUGCUGAACUUGAAUUAUUAGGAAGUAACUAGAAUAUGUAGUGUAGCGGUGAAAUGUUUAGAGAUUACAUGGAAUACCAAUUGCGAAGGCAGGUUACUACUAAUAGAUUGACGCUGAUGGACGAAAGCGUGGGGAGCGAACAGGAUUAGAGACCCGCGUAGUCCCUGUCUCUUAUAC